rnacentral:lncRNA from 1 species
AUGAAACUGAACACUAUGAUUCAAGUACUAGACCUAGCUCUCCUAGAUAUUGUGGCAUCCCAGCCCAGAGGAAACCGGAACGCCCCGUAUUCCAGCCCAGGGACAAGUCUUCUGGAAUACAGUACAGUUGGCAUAGAACAAAUCAGCUCUUUAUUACUAUGGAAAAGGUUACAAGGGUACAUGGAUUACAAUGAUACUACACCUACCUACAGUAAAAUUCUACGCUAGUAGCGGAACAACGACCAUUGUGAUGAACUCCACUCCGCAGGGACUCUGGGUGGAAAGUGUAUCCUAGCUCACAACUCGGGAUCCUCGAGAAGCAAGCAAUCAUGGCAUGACCUAUAAACUGGCAUGACACGCGAGGUGAGUACUUUGAAUGUACUCGCAAGCUCACAACAAACAUCAGCAUUAAGGCAAGACAACAUCAUAGCAAUCAAGAUUAGGAAAAGAUUGAUCAUCGCUGAAGGGAUAGUUGAAAAUAACUAUACCAGGCUACUCUCACUGUACUCUGGUGACCAACUCGUGAUCUCACCAAGAACCUUUAGCGAAUAUCCUCAACACGGACACCAAGACUUGUCACCGGCAUGAUGCCCAACUACUACCAUACUCAGACGAGUUCUUCCAUCAUUAUCAUCACUAUCAUGGUUAUGGGUGACCACCUACUAAGGUCUAGAUGGGCUGUCCAAUACCGUGGCAGCGACUAUUCGAAUAGAUUUUUCACUCUACAGAGGUUGCACACUUUACCCACAUCAUGGAGCACUGACCUCGUGAUCCCAUUCAGGUCGACCAGUAUUGCUCCAACGAAACCUGCCUGACCCGUGACUAUCCCAUCAUACCACAGCCAUUCAUCCUCCCCCGGAGUCCUGCCCUGGGUGGCCCAUGUGUUCUCAUGACACCUACCACCGUCAUGGCCAAACUAAACUAUCCCAAACGGGGACGGGCCCAAACAACUCAACUGGGCUCACAAGGUUAUCGCCGCCUAUCGGGCCAAGGCACGCAUGCGCAUAACCUUCCCUCUUUGGUGGUACCGAUAAAAGAACACGCGAUCAGACCAAGUAAAGGCCAUCCCAUACCGGCAAAUAUGGUUGCACGGAUUAGCUCGGAUAGGUGACUCUCGAUCAACCAAGUAAGUAUCUUAUCCCCGAAUAAUAUUUCUGUCAUGGCUGACACUCCGAUAUCAUAGUAAUCCAGUAACCAAUAAGCUCAUGCCACUGCUAUUGAUUCGUAUCCAGAAACUGCCGGAUGAAACCCAAAAUAAUCAUAGACAGUAAUCUCCAAUGGAAUGGCAUCGACUAGUUGGUAAAAUACUAGUUGCUAACAAUCCCGCACUCAACAUGGUAGUCACCUAUUCAAGAAUUUAUUCAAACGUUGCAUAAUCUAAUCCAUACUACAAAUAAUUAUAAUUGUGUUUAAAGUAAUAGGUUAAACAAUGAUAUUGCAAUGCAAUCAUGCAAAUGAGGGUUGUGGCUUGCCUGGGGGUGAAGGAACCAUCGGGAAGAAGUGCGGAGAGUCCGCGGAAUUGAUUGCCGAAAACAGUUCUCUCUCGGAGGGGGCUGAUUAGAGGCAAGGGAAAAAUAGUCAUUUACACUGUAUGAACACAUAGUGAAAAUGAUAUCAACAUGACGGGCUUGACGAGAUGAAGACGUGGGCUUUGGAAUCACCUCGAUCGGAGUUACGAUCGCAAAGUUGUUGCCGUUCACUUUUUAGGCGGAAAAAUGCCCUAACCAGCGGACGUUCACUAAAUAGUCCUUUUGGCCAGCGGCUGAAAAAAUGAAAGUGCCUUUUCAGAAAUACGUUUGUGGUAAACCAAAAAUGCAUUUCAUGAAAUGUGCCUCCACUUAAACUGGUGUGCGGGCCUGUUGACUUCAUUAGUCCAACUGACGGAUAGGAUCUGUCCCACCCUCUCUCUCUCUCUCUCCUAGCUCUUCUUCCUGCUUGCGACAGGGCACAGAGGAGGAGCGGGGGCGCUCGGCCGGCAACCGCCCGGCCGGCUCCGGCCACCUCCGGUCGUGGCGAGACAACCAGAGGGACCAGGACGAGGCGCCUCAUCCGCCUAGACCUGCUACUCGCACCGGGGAGCAGCAAGACAACUGCGCCAUGCGUUAGCCGCGAGCAGAGGCGGCGGUCGAGCAGUGGAGCCGCGACCACGCCUACUCCGGCAUUGAGCAAAGAGGACGGGGAGGUGUACCGGGAGAGGGGGGUUCUACUGCGAGUAAAAUGGAGAGGGGAAGAGUGCUGCCUUGGCCUAAUUUUGAACGAGGAGGCCGACGACCAUGGCGGCAAUGGAGGACGAGGAGUGCUUCGGGAGCUCGGGUGAUGGGCUGGGGAGGACCAAGGGGAAGUGCGCGAGGCUGGCAAUGAAGAUGAGAGGGGCUCAGGGUACGCCUUAUAUAGGACCAGGGAGGAGCUACGCAACAGUGGCCGAGGCUUCGAGAUGGCCGUCGCCGUGGCGGCACUCCAGCAGUCCACAGAGACAUCCAGGAGCUACAGGACGAGGGGAAGCGGGAUCUGGAGGGUGCGCGAACGCACUGGGAUGCCCUCCGACGCUUAUGGACAAGCCAGAGUUCGCUGGAGAGCCGCUCCCGACAACUCAAUCGCACAGAGCACUGGUUUGGCUGCGUCUGGCGUGGUCACCAUGCGGCCAUGGCAUUGCCACACAACACACGCGGCCAGAACAUGUCUAGGGCCUUCUCCACAUUUCUCUAAGUUAACUUGACCCCACAAGCAAUAAAAGUAGGCUCUAGUUUGACCACACCUUGAUCCACAAGUAGCCAACAACAACCUAUUUGUGUUGUGGUGUGGCCACCACAGUGCUCCUCUUGGCAAGAUCCUUGGCUAGGGUUAAUCAUCUGCUAAGUUCACUAUCCUGGCAAAAUCUCAGCUCAAAUGAGUAGGGAUAGCUAGCACUUGUAGUUCAAUGAUCUCUACUGGACAGAAUUGCAAAGUAUGUAGUGGCACUCACAUACUUUCUUGGAUGGAGCUGAAAUUUGGAUGAGAUGAGCUAUUGAGGAAUAUGAAGACAUUGUAUAAAUUUCAUACAAUCUGGAUGAACCAAAGUGGUACUUCCUUCACAUAGUAUCCCACUAGACAAAAUCUUAGGAGAACUACUAAGGGAAAAUGGCUAGAUAAAAUGAGAUAAAACUUGGUGGAGAGAUGUUUUAUAGAUAGGAGAAUGUUUCGGUAAAAGUUCAGAAAUUAUAGAGCAACAUAAAGUAGAGUUGCUUCACAAUCCAAAAUAAUGACCAAACAAAUAUUUGAUGUUGUGGUCACAUAGUUGCUGGGGUGAUUCUCAAAUUUUGUGGAGAGGCUUUAUUUGAGCAUAUUGAGGCCAUGGCACAAUUUCAACUUAUUUGAAUACUCUUAGCUAGCACUUACUUCACAAAGCUUCCUCUGGAUCAAAAACUUUGGAAAUUUGCCAAGAAAUAUUUACUAGCCAAAUGAGGUUGAAUUUUUUGCAUGAGGCAAUGAUAUGGAUAGGAAAGAUUGACCACAAAUUUUUAGAUCAAGAAAGCAUAUAAAAAGAGUACUUGCUUCACAACUUGACAGCUAGGGAAGAAUCAGAAAAAGGAAUAUUUGAGGAAUAUUUUUGAACAUGGCAAGGAAGGAUUUUGUGAUAUCUAAGGAAGAUAUGACCCAAGAGAUUUAUGAGAAUUAUUUGGGAUUUUUUUAAAUCAUAGAAAUGUGGGUUUCUUCACAACCCAGAGCAAGAGGGUUAUUCCUUUAAUACAAAAAGGAAUAUUCCCAAGGAAAAGAUUAUUAGGAUUGGUUCAAGAUGGAAAUGACAAGGUCUUGCAUUGGUUUGGAGGUUGGCAAGUUACUAGGGAAGAGAAAUCAAGGAUGAUCCCUUUAGGUUCCAAAACUACCAAGCCACAGAAAAGAAAAUCCAGACCAAAAUUAAAAUAAAAAAUGGGCGAAAUCCAGGGUGUUACAAAACUACCCCCCUUAAAGAAAUCUUGUCCUCGAGAUUUGGUUCCUCAGGGGUUCAAGCAUGAAUAUCCCCACUUGAGGAAACUGUUUCUAACUCGGGUUUCCUUUUUUCCUUGGUAUGAUGCUCCUGGUGGGUUAUCUGACUCACUACCUGGCUUCGAGGUGGUUUGUUUCACUGUAUCCUCAUAUGUUACUAUGACUUCGAUCCGUUUAUGUCUCAUGACUUUACUGACACAGGUUCUUGCAGAAAGAUCUUGUUCACGGCAGGCUAUCUUUGGACCGAUUCCCAUAUGUGAGGACACAUGUUCUGAGGUUGUUGUUCAACAUUCUGGUCGUUCUGUCUGUCAACACUUUUAAAUGAAUAGUAGGCCGUGUAAUGCUUUAACAUUAUUGCUGCAAUCGAACUGCUUAGUCUUCCUCAUAGAUUCGAAUAUGCCCUUCUGGCGAUUCUGAGCAUAUCUGGUUGGGCUGAGCGAAUUCACUCGAUAUAUGGUCCUUGCAAAUGGAAUAGACCACAUGGGUGUGUACCCAUGGUGAUUGGUAUCAAACCAGACUGUUUCGAGUAUCUGUACCAUGUUGAUCUUGCAACCAUUAUCAUACCUAUAUGGCCAAUCUUGUUCCUUCAUUAUAGUUCUCUUUGCAUGGAUCCUUAGUUGAAAGAGCUUGGUCUAAUGUGUUCUUUAUUCCUUGGAUGGCCAUGGGUGCUGCCAGAUACAAUAUUCCAGCAGUCAUAUUACUUAACAAGUUGUAGCUAUAGGGUAACAACCGUUUGAACCCUUGGAUAAAACCGGUGAAAGGAUCGAUAUGGUUGGCUAGAGGGGGGGGUGAAUAGACAACGACCACUUUUGAAUUAAUCUUAACAAGUUAAGGUAAACACUAUACGAGUUCACAAAUAAUAUGACAAAGAGGUGACCCCUAUAGAAGCUAUCAACAAGACCUAUUAAGACAAGUAAGAUAUUGUCACAAGGAAAAGAAAAUACAAAGUAAAGGUUAGAGAUAACCACAAGUGGAACCGAUGGAGACGAGGAUGUGUUACCGAAGUUCCUUCCCUUUGACAGGAAGUACGUCUCCGUUGGAGCGGUGUGGAGGCACAAUGCUCCCCAAAAAGCCACUAAGGCCACCGUAUUCUCCUCACGCCCUCGCACGAUGCAAGGUACCGUGAUUCCACUAUAGGUGCCCUUGAAGGCGGCGACCGAACCUUUACAAACAAGGUUGGGGCAACUCCACACAAAGCUUGGAGGCUCCCAACAAGACCACGAAGCUUCACCACAAUGGAAUAUGGCUUCGAGGUGACCUCAACCGUCUAGGAUGCUCAAACACCCAAGAGUAACAAGAUCCGCAAGGGAUAGGUGGGGGAAUCAACUUUUCUCUUGGUGGAAGUGUGGAUCUAGGCCUUCUCAACCAAUCCCUAAAGAAUCAACAAGUUUGAUUGGCUAGGGAGAGAGAUCGGGCACUUUUAAGCUUGUGGAGCAACAAUGGAGCUUAGAGAGGUAAGAGAUAAGGUUCCUCAGCUAGAAGAACACUUUAUAUAGUGGGGGGAAAAUUCAGACCGUUUUCCCACUCUCUGCCCGAGAUCCAGCGGUACUACCGCUGGGAAGGAGCGGUACUACCGCUGCCUGGCGGUACUACCGCUGGAUGCAGCGGUACUACCGCUGGGGCUUCCAGCGGUACUACCGCUUGCACCAACGGUACUACCGCUGGAANNNNNNNNNNNNNNNNNNNNNNNNNNNNNNNNNNNNNNNNNNNNNNNNNNNNNNNNNNNNNNNNNNNNNNNNNNNNNNNNNNNNNNNNNNNNNNNNNNNNNNNNNNNNNNNNNNNNNNNNNNNNNNNNNNNNNNNNNNNNNNNNNNNNNNNNNNNNNNNNNNNNNNNNNNNNNNNNNNNNNNNNNNNNNNNNNNNNNNNNNNNNNNNNNNNNNNNNNNNNNNNNNNUCCGUCCACGAACUACCUCUAGGUACGUGGAACAGGGCACCUGGAGCGGUACUACCGCCAGCCAGGGCGGUACUACCGCCAGCCUGGCGGUACUACUGCUGACCAGGGGCGGUACUACCGCCAGCCAGCGGUACUACCGCUGGCUGCAGCGGUACUACCCCUGGCAGUCCAGCGGUACUACCGCUGAGACCAGCGGUACUACCGCUGGGGACCAUUUUGCCGAGACGCAAAGAACAAAACGGCGAGGGCCGCUCCAAGGAUAAAGGAAAGGGAGAAAAUAGAGGUGUGCGUGUGCAAAGAUAGAUUCCACCCAAACCUUUCCACUACGGAUCCCCUCUUAAUAGUACGGCUUUCCUAUGACUCAAAUGAAGAGAAUCUAGGAUAGCGCCAUGCUUCCGUUCCCAAAGAGAGGAGUCGUGUCGUCUUGUGUCGUUGACGAAUGUUGCCUGAAACCUUGACACACACGAUUAGUCCUGUACGGUACUGUCAUCAAUCACCAAAAUUACUUAGGCAUAAAUUAUGCCUCAACAAUCUCCCCCUUUUUGGUGGAUUGAUGACAAUACCGGAUUUGCAUGGAUAAUAAUAUGAGAGUAAAAAGAUAGAGAUAUAUGACAUAUGACUCACAGCAUAUGAUGGAAAUAAAUCUAAUCUCACAUAGGAAAUAUCAUGUCUCACACAAGAUAGCAAACGAAGCAAACCAAGUUCAAAGCAAAUAAGGCAAAGCAAUGCAAGAUCGAAUGAAAUCAAAUCCCUAAACUCUCUCCCCCUUUGGCACAAGACACCAAAAAGGGGGCACACCUAAUGUCACAGGUAGCUACUCCUCGUCCUCAGGAUCACCAGACUCGUCGGUCCCCUCCUGGUCAGUCUCCUCCUCAUCUUGCGCCUCAUCACCCGACCACUGGUACCCCUGAGCCUGCAUCCACGUGGCCUCAGGCGUGAUGUCGUCCUCUGAGCCACUGGAGAUGUCCACAUCCAAGGUCCUGAGAACACGCUUAUGUCUCUGGCGGCUCUGCUUCUGAGCCACGUGUGUCUGAUACUGACCCUUGGCCUGCAUACAGAAGAGAGUCUUCAUCUUGUCCUGCAACUUGAUAGCCCAAGAUGGCAUGGCAGACGAGCGGGACUGAGAGGCAGGUCCUCUACUAGCAGCUGUCUCUGUAUCAGUGUCCAUGUGCUGAGAAGAUGAAGAUGGGUUGGCCCACUUGUCCUUGACGCGCAGCUUGAUUGGGUCAUGCACAAUGUAGUCAGAUUGUGCGUAGAGCACCUCAUCCGGAAACGCCUGUUGCCACUUAUAGCAGAUGUAUGCAAACAGGUAAGGCCCGUAGAUAGGGACCUUACGGUUGAUGAUGCAGUUCCAUAGUUCUGUGAACAUCACAUCUGCAAUAUCCAGUUGAGCAGACUCCAUAGACAUAGCCUCCUCACACAGUAACAACAUCUCAGCCAAGGAGCCAUGGACCUCAUCGAAGUUACCACUCCGAGGGAAGAGGGUGUUUCGAAAGAUGCGGUGCAUGAUGUCCAGGUGCUUGGGAAGCACCCCUUCCUCAGAUACAGUGUCUACAGUCUGUCCUUUGCGAGGCCCUUAUCAGUGGGGGCUGGAGCGUGAGGACGUAGCCCAAGAGGGGUGUCAGCACCCUGAAAAUCAACGUGCAGGAACUACAUGAACUCUGUCCAGGAACCAGUCAUCUUCUGUGACCCAGUCAUCCAUAUCAUGGAGCGCUGUUCAUCAGGGGAGAAGUGAACUGUGACAUAGAACUGAGCAACUGCCGUGGGGUCAAAAUCCGUCUUGAAGGAGAUGAUGUUUUUGAGGCCCAUCUUGUCAAUCAAAGCAAGGGCAUCACCAAAGUACUCUGUGUGCCGCUGAAGGUGUGCCAGAUCAAUCCACUGGACAGAGACAUAGUUCUUCUUGAAGUUUGCAAUGACAUCUCGAUAUAUCCUGCAAUGGUCCUUAACCCAGACAUUUUCAACACCAUCGAUCUUCUCCCUCUCCUGCAGAUAGUGGUUCUUGGUGCGAAAUUGCAGAAAAUCCUUGGGAGACAUUGUGCGGAUAUUCACCCUCUUGUCCUUGUGAGCGACCUUCUUAAAGGACUUCUUCUUAGGGGGAAGAUCGGACGUGGCAGACCCCUCGGGCGCCUCUGUGUUGCGAAACUGUUUGGAUGCCGUGUCCCGUGGGGGGUUCGAACGGCGAGCAGAGCCACCUGUGACACAGACCACAAAGCAAAAAAGAGGCGACAAGAAAAGUCAAGGCAAUGGAUCUUGAAAGAGCAGAAAACGAAAACAUGCAUUGCUAAGCAAAAGAGAAAAUACACCGAGAAUGCUUCUGGUGGUAGUACCGCCACCCCCGGCGGUAGUACCGCUGGGGCCUGGCGGUAGUACCGCCAGUCCUGGCGGUAGUACCGCUGGGGGUCAUAGCGGUAGUACCGCUACCCCUGGCGGUAGUACCGCUGGGGCCUAGCGGUAGUACCGCUACCCCCUGGUGGUAGUACCGCUGGGGGUUUGACUUUCAGAUUACACAUGUAAAACUCGUUUUCAAGGGCAUGGACUGAAUAUGAACAUUAAGGCAUACACCCCAGCCCUAAUGACAAGAGGAACACAUAGUAAUACGAGGUGCAAACAUGCCUAGGCAAGAGAGAGCACGUUUCAGAUCUAAUCCAAAAGUUCAAAUAUUCGAUCUAAGACGGUGAAGUCCUAAACCAUGGCAGCAAUCAUAACAACAACCAUUGGACCUAUACUCCCCUCAAAAAUUCCUUCAUGCCAUCCAAUAACUAACCAUAGGAUCAACAAGAUGAAUCCAAUCCCCAAUGCUCCUAACCCUAGAACACGAAGAACAACAUAAUAGAAGAAGGGAGGAGCUUUUGUUACCGGGAUUCAUGGCUUUGGAGGAGGAAGAAGAAGUGAAGCAGCCUUUCCACACCAACGGGGAGAAAGAGCUCCACGAAGUGAGAUCCAAUCGGGGGGUUUUCGGGGUAGGGGAGGGAGGAGCCGCCAGGAAGAAGAAACAGAUUGAAAAUCGGGCUCCCCCUCCCUUUAUAUAGCCCAAGGGGUACGGACAGCGGUAGUACCGCUGGGGUGCAGUGGUAGUACCGCUGGGGUCCUGGCGGUAGUACCGCUCCCCCUGGCGGUAGUACCGCUCCCCCUCGAAACCCUAGAAAUAUUCCAGCCGGCCGAGUUAGAUUUUGAGCUCUGGCGGUAGUACCGCUACCACUAGCGGUAGUACCGCUGUGGUCCUGGCGGUAUUACCGCUACCCCUGGCGGUAGUACCGCUGGGGUCCUGGCGGUAGUACCGCCACCCUGGCGGUAGUACCGCUGCAAAUGUCGCAGCGCGGCGUUAAGAAAAGAGAGGGACUUGGGCAUAUGACAAGUGAGUAAGAAGGGAUGACUUCCAAGAAAAUGUACUGACUUGUCAUUGUAUAUCCUCUCCUUUAUACGCACGAGAGGAUGGAGGGGCGGUGGCCGUGGCCACCUAUGUUUGAGACAAUGGUAUGACACCGCGAAGAAUUAUCCUUGGGUUCAUGACCAAUGCUCGUCUUUGAAGCACAAGCACCAUUUGACAAUGGCAAAAGUGAAAGACUAGAUUGAUUUACGCAUAAUAGGGGGAGGGAGAGUUUAUUGAGAGAACAACACUCCCCCUAUGUCCAUGCCUACAUCUAGACCAAGAUGGAAUGUGAAGUGAGGUGCAAUAUGCCUAGUUUCAAUCCACAUUACUUGAAUCAAUGAUAUUUAGCUCAUGCCUUAACUCCCGGAACCUUGCUUCAUCAAGUGGCUUGGUGAAAAUAUCUGCAAGUUGCUCUUCAGUGUGAAUGAAGUGAACCUCAAUAUCACCUAGCUUGAUAUGUUCACGGAUGAAGUGAUGACGAAUAUCAAUAUGUUUGGUUUUGCUAUGUUGCACUGGGUUGAGGAAAAUCUUGAUGGCGCUUUGAUUGUCACAUAGAAGAGGCACUUUGUCACAAGUGACACCAUAAUCCUUUAAAGUUUGCCUCAUCCAUAGCAAUUGUGCACAACAACUUGCAGCUGCCACAUACUCAGCUUCGGUGGAUGAUAAGGAGACACAGUUCUGCUUCUUUGAAGACCAACUUACCAAAGAGCGACCAAGGAAUUGGCACCCUCCAGAUGUUGACUUCCUCUCCACACAAUCUCCAUCCCUAUCUGAGUCAGAAUAGCCAACUAGAUUGAAGUUUGCUCCUUUGGGAUACCAGAGGCCAAAGUUUGGGGUAUGAGCCAAAUAUCGAAAGAUUCGUUUGACAGCCAUGUAAUGACUUUCUUUUGGUGCGGAUUGAAACCGUGCACAUAUCCCUACACUCAACAUAAUAUCCGGUCUAGAUGCACAAAGGUAAAGGAGGGAUCCAAUCAUGGAGCGGUAUACCUUUUGAUCCACUGCUUUACCAUUGGGAUCACUGUCAAGCUUGCAUCUGGUUGGCAUGGGAAACUUGACCGGUUUGACAUCUUCGAGCUCGAACCGUUUGAGCAUGUCUUGAGUGUACUUGGCUUGUUUGAUGAAUGUCCCUUCUAGACCUUGUUUAAUCUCGAAUCCGAGGAAAAACUUCAACUCUCCCAUCAUGGACAUCUCAAACUUCUCAGUCAUUAGCGCAGCAAAUUCUUCAUUGAAUGAAAUGUUAGGAGAGCCAAAGAUAAUAUCAUCAACAUAUAGUUGGCAUAUGAACAAAUCCCCUUUAACCCUCUUAGUAAAAAGAGUGGGAUCAAUCUUCCCAAUUUCAAACCCACGAUCUUGUAACAACUCAGUAAGGUACUCAUACCACGCGUGUGGGGCUUGUUUAAGACCAUAGAGUGCCUUAUUGAGUUUGUACACAUGAUUGGGGAGCUUGGGAUGUUCGAAUCCCGGGGGUUGUUUGACAUAUACCAACUCAUUUAAAGGACCAUUAAGAAAUGCACUUUUCACAUCCAUUUGCUGUAAUUUGAAGUUAUGAUGAGAAGCAAAAGCAAGUAGCAUGCGAAUAGAUUCUAGACGAGCGACAGGGGCAAAGGUUUCACCGUAGUCGAUACCCUCGACUUGGGAGUAGCCUUGAGCCACCAAUCUUGCCUUGUUUCGAAUCACAAUUCCAUUUGCAUCUUGCUUGUUCUUGAAUAUCCAUUUGGUUCCGAUGACAUUAUGUUCCUUCGUUGGUCGUGGCACUAGAUCCCAUACUUGGUUGCGCUCGAAGUUGUUAAGUUCUUCGUGCAUGGCCAUAAGCCAAUCCUCAUCAUUGAGCGCUUCCUGUACCUGUUGAGGUUCACAAUACGAGACAAACGCGUGAUGCUCACAAUAAUUCCAAAGUUGUUGACGGGUAGAUACUCCCCUUUUUAAACUACCAAGAACAUUCUUCAUAAGAUGUGACUUGGCUUUCAGCUUGUUCGCAUUCUUGGCUGCUCGACGCUCCAAGAGUUCUUCAUUAGAUAACAGGGGAGCAUCGACUUGUAUCUUUUGUUUGCCCUUGCGUCUUGAGCCGGUUGUUGGAGCUCCAGAAGGGAAUUGUGAGACAGUCUCCUGAUCACUUUGUCCUUCGACUUGAGCAGGUUCACUAGUUUGAUCUUGUAUUAGUGGUUGCUCUUGAUCUUGAUCUCGUGUUGGUUCAAGGUCUUGGGGUAGUGCUUGAGUGGGCAUAUCACCAUUGUUAGGCAAUUGAUCUUGACCGAGAGCUUGAUCAACUUGUUGAGAGUCUUCUCUUUGUUCAUCGAAAGCGUGUGGGGCUUGUGGGGGUGAUGGCUCCACUUGAGUAGAGCAUUGUCCUUCUCCUUCGGCCAUAAGGGGUUCCUCAAUGGGGAGUAUUUGACCAAUCCCCAUUCUUCUUAUGGCUUCGGGAGGAAUUUCAUCACCUAUAUCACAAAGACCACUUUGCUCCACUUGGGAGCCAUUAUUUUCGUCAAACUCCACGUUACACGUCUCCUCAAUUAGUCUGGUGGACUUGUUGAGGACACGGUAAGCAUGAGAGUUUGUAGCAUAACCAACAAAGAUACCCUCAUGUGCUCUAGAGUCAAAUUUAGCUAACCGAGCUCCCUUUUUAAGAAUGAAACACUUACAACCGAAUACCCGGAAGUACUUGAGAUUGGGUUUGUUUCCAGUUAGAAUCUCAUACGGAGUCUUGUUCAAGCCUUUGCGGAUGUAGAGCCGAUUGGACGCAUGACAUGCUGUGUUGAUGGCCUCUGCCCAGAAGUUGUAUGGAGAUUUGAAUUCUUCCAUCAUUGUUCGUGCAGCGUCUAUCAAGGUCCGGUUCUUCCUUUCUGCCACGCCGUUUUGCUGAGGGGUAUAUGGUGCAGAAUAUUGGUGCUUUAUUCCCUCAUCACCUAGAAACUCAUCUAGGGUAUAGUUCUUGAACUCGGUGCCGUUGUCACUCCUAAUCAUCAAGAUCUUUGCUUCAUGUUGACGUUGCGCUUCAUUGGCAAAGUUGAUGACCGUUUGUUGAGUUUCACUCUUCCUUUUGAAGAAAUAUACCCAGGUAUAUCUUGAGUAGUCGUCAACAAUGACUAAGCAAUACUUUCUGCCUCCAAGACUAUCAAAUGUUGGAGGACCAAACAGAUCCAUGUGAAGAAGUUCCAAUGGCCUCUUAGUGUAGAUAAGAGUUAUUGGACGAUGAGCAGUUUCAUGAAUCUUUCCUUCAAUGCAAGCACUGCAAACACGAUCUUUAGCAAAGCUCACAUUUGUUAGUCCACGAACAUGGUCCCCUGUCAGAAGACUUUGCAAAGACCUCAUAUUGACAUGAGCUAAACGGCGAUGCCAAAGCCAGCCCACGUCAACUUUAGCCAUUAGACAUGUCGCAAUCUUAGUAGGUCGCUUUGAAAAGUUUACCACAUAGAGACCAUUUUCGACAUGUCCAACAUAGGCUACUUUAAGAGUCUUGCUCCUUAGGAGGACCACAGUGUCAAUAUUAAAGAAUGUGGAAAAACCCAUGAUUGCAAGUUGACGAACGGAAAGUAAAUUGUAGGCAAGAGACUCAACAAGCAUGACCUUCUCAAUAGACAAAUCUUGAGAGACGACCACCUUACCAAAUCCCAAUACCUUUGACGAGGAUGCAUCAGCGAAUUGGACAUGGGUGGGCAUAGAUGGAGAAGGGUGCACAUCCACCACUAAGUCCUUGCUUCUGGUCAUAUGAUUUGUUGCUCCACUAUCGAGCAACCAUGACACCCCACCGGAAGCAAACUCCUGCAAUAGAUCAAGGCUUGGUUUUAGGUACCUAUUUUUUAAUGGGUCCUUUCAUGUUAGAGACAAGGGUCUUAGGAACCCAGAUAGCCCAUUCAAUAUCUUCAUCGUAGGAACCAAUAAAUCUGGCAUAAACAUGCCCAUCACUAGCACAACAUAACACAUAAGAGGAAUUGAGUUUGCCGGCUGUGUUAGUAGGAGCGGCUUUGCCCUUCUUGAGGUUCCCAUAGUCCACCUUGUUCCUGUUCACCUUCUGAGUCCCCUCACCCUCCUUGACAAAGAUGUCCAUGAGGGUGAGAGAUCGUUUGCUCUUGUUCUUUCUUUUACCUUUUGACUUGGAGGUAAGUCCAAUUCCUUCCUUUCCUACAACACCCUUUUGAGUGCUCAAGAGAUCGUUCAGACUCUUCUCACCUUGUCUGCAUGACACAAGGCCCUUCUCAAGUUUCUCCUUUAACUUGGCAUUUUCUUCCACAAGAUGAACAUGCUCACAACAAGGGUUAGUUGCACAAGUAUUAUCAAUUAGCACAAAGGGAGGACAAGUAGAGAUCUCCUUGGUAAGCUUUGCUUGGAGUUGAUCAUGAGACUCUUUCAGAGCGAAAUGAGCACCUUUCAAGGCUUUGUGGGCCUUGUCAAGUAUGUCAAACUCUUCUUUGAGUCUGUCACGGCCAACCUCAAGAGCAUACUUUUCAGAUUUAAGCAUGCGAGUAAGAACAACAUCAUGAUCCAGUUUCUUUGGCAUUUUAGUGCAGUCAUCGUUAUAUGACUCCUCAAGAGCCAAACGAAGAGUGCGCUCUUCUUCUAGAUUACUAGAUAAUUCGGCAAUUUCAUCGGCAUAGUCACGACUAUGUCCAUGAAGCUCGGAGAUGGUCUCCUCAUGAGACUCAAUAAGGUCAGUGGCCUCACCCAGUUGUUCUAAGAGAGCAACAAAAUGCUUCUUGGUUUCUCCCUUAAUAGUGCAUAGAAACUUAUCAAGAUCAUGCUCAUUAAGUUCUCCAACAUCACUAUCUUCUACACAAUUUAACAAUGAAGGAGCAGAAGUAAUGUUGGUCUUAAUGAUAGAAGUUACCUGAUUGGUACCUUUUGCCAUGAGGCACUUGGUGAUGUGGUUCUCGUUGGGGGCGUUGAAGAGAGACACCUUCUGGGAAGGGGUAGUGGCUAUAGCAACAGUUGCCGUUGCCACUGUAUCAUCAUCAUCAUCAUCAUCAUCAGAAGGAUACUCCUCCAGGGCCACCAUUCCUUUUGGGUGAGGUUUCUUCACAAAGUUGUUCUUGAUUGGAAAUGAUUUGGUUUUGUCUUUGCGAAUGAGCUUGCCUCCAUUGUCUUCUCUCUUCUCAUAUGGACAUUCUGCCACGAAGUGACUCACGUUGCCACAGUUAUAACAUGUCCUUACUCGUUGUUUGGGUUUGAAACCACUUGAGUUGUUCUUGUUGAAGGUUGGUCUUGAGUUCCUUUUAUUUCCCCAGAAUUGCCUUGAUGCAAGAGCCAUGUGCUCAUGAUAGGCAUACUUUGUGUCUUCCGGGCAGCUCUCCUCUUCCUCAUCUUCUUCUUCUUCUUCAAGAAUUACUCUUGCUUUCAACGCAAGUUUGGGUGAAGUGGUUUUUGAUCGGACACGAGCAAGUGCAUUGUCGACUGUUUCGUUCAUGAUUGACAUUGCAAUGAACUCAUCCAACACUUCACUGGAAGACAGAGAGUGAAAGUCUGGCCGCUGACGAAUGACAGAUGACAUGGCUUUGUUGAAAGGCAUGAUGGCUUUGAGAAACUUGCGUUUGACCCAAGUGUCAUCCACAUCCUUACUUCCAUGAUCCUUUAGUGCCAUGGCAAUAGCAGUCACCCUCCGAUAGAGAUCACGAGGGUCCUCUUCUUCCUUCAUCACAAACUCAUCGGCCUGAUCAAGUAUUACUUCAUAGUUGGAUCGUUGAAUACUUGAGCUUCCCUUAUACAACACCAUAAUAUGCUCCCAACAAUCCUUGGCCAAUGUGAAGGGACGUAAGUGGGGAAGAUCUUCAGGUGGCACAGCAGACUGAAGGAUAAACAGCGCAGAGUGAUUAUAUUGAUUGUCUGCAUCUUCUCUUGGAGUGAGGUUGCUUGGGUCAUGGGGGUAAUAUCCUUGCUCGAUAAUUCUCCACAAGUUUGUUGAGCUGUGAUUCAAAUGAGACUUAAUAGAAAAUACCCAGUUAGCAAAGUCACCUUUCACAAGUUUAGGAGGAGGACCAACAGGAUUAAGACGAGGUGCGAGAACGGGUCCUCCAUAAGUCAUGGGAGGUGGAACAGAGGCAUGUGUUCCAGUCCCAUCCUUUUCGUGAGGUGAAGCAGGUUGCAUACCUUUAGCCGCUUCCUUAGAGGAGUUGGCCUCCGAAUCGGAAAUGGUGGGUUUAACCACUAAAGCCGGUUCGGGUGAACUUUUAGGACCAUCAAUUAAUUCCUUAAGCAUGGUUUUGACUUCGCUCGUCAAGGACGUCUUGAGGGCUGCCAUAGCCGUAUUCAAGUCGUCCCUUGUGACCGAAGUCAAGUCCAUGCCCUCGGGUUGCCCAUGGUUCACUUCCUCUUCGCCUUCCAUACUCUUCGGGUGGUUAAACCCUUAAUAAGGAGACGUGGCUCUGAUACCAAUUGAAAGGAUCGAUAUGGUUGGCUAGAGGGGGGGGUGAAUAGACAACACCACUUUUUAAUUAAUCUUAACAAGUUAAGGUAAACACCAUACGGGUUCACAAAUAAUAUGACAAAGAGGUGACCCCUAUAGAAGCUAUCAACAAGACCUAUUAAGACAAGUAAGAUAUUGUCACAAGGAAAAGCAAAUACAAAGUAAAGGUUAGAGAUAACCACAAGUGGAACCGAUGGAGACGAGGAUGUGUUACCAAAGUUCCUUCCCUUUGACAAGAAGUACGUCUCCGUUGGAGCGGUGUGGAGGCACAAUGCUCCCCAAAAAUCCACUAAGGCCACCGUANNNNNNNNNNNNNNNNNNNNNNNNNNNNNNNNNNNNNNNNNNNNNNNNNNNNNNNNNNNNNNNNNNNNNNNNNNNNNNNNNNNNNNNNNNNNNNNNNNNNNNNNNNNNNNNNNNNNNNNNNNNNNNNNNNNNNNNNNNNNNNNNNNNNNNNNNNNNNNNNNNNNNNNNNNNNNNNNNNNNNNNNNNNNNNNNNNNNNNNNNNNNNNNNNNNNNNNNNNNNNNNNNNNNNNNNNNNNNNNNNNNNNNNNNNNNNNNNNNNNNNNNNNNNNNNNNNNNNNNNNNNNNNNNNNNNNNNNNNNNNNNNNNNNNNNNNNNNNNNNNNNNNNNNNNNNNNNNNNNNNNNNNNNNNNNNNNNNNNNNNNNNNNNNNNNNNNNNNNNNNNNNNNNNNNNNNNNNNNNNNNNNNNNNNNNNNNNNNNNNNNNNNNNNNNNNNNNNNNNNNNNNNNNNNNNNNNNNNNNNNNNNNNNNNNNNNNNNNNNNNNNNNNNNNNNNNNNNNNNNNNNNNNNNNNNNNNNNNNNNACUUUAUAUAGUGGGGGCAAAAUUCAGACCGUUUUCCCACCCUCUGCCCGAGUUCCAGUGGUACUACCGCUGGGAAGGAGCGGUACUACCGCUGCCUAGCGGUACUACCGCUGGAUGCAGCGGUACUACCGCUGGGGCUUCCAGCGGUACUACCGCUGGCACCAGCGGUACUACCGCUGGCCCUUCCAGCGGUACUACCGCUGGCACCAGCGGUACUACCGCUGGAACCAGCGGUACUACCGCUGGCCCUUGGUAGUGCAUAAGCACUACUACCGCCGAGAAAGUCUUCGCAAAAGGGUCCGUCCACGAACUACCGCUAGGUACGUGGAACAGGGCACCUGGAGCGGUACUACCGCCAGCCAGGGCGGUACUACCGCCAGCCUGGCGGUACUACCGCCAGCCAGCGGUACUACCGCUGGCUGCAGCGGUACUACCCCUGGCAGUCCAGCGGUACUACCGCUGGGACCAGCGGUACUACCGCUGGGGACCAUUUUGCCGAGACGCAAAGAACAAAACGGCGAGGGCCGCUCCAAGGAUAAAGGAAAGGGAGAAAAUAGAGGUGUGCGUGUGCAAAGAUAGAUUCCACCCAAACCUUUCCACUACGGAUCCCCUCUUAAUAGUACGGCUUUCCUAUGACUCAAAUGAAGAGAAUCUAGGAUAGCGCCAUGCUUCCGUUCCCAAAGAGAGGAGUCGUGUCGUCUUGUGUCGUUGACGAAUGUUGCCUGAAACCUUGACACACACGAUUAGUCCUGUACGGUACUGUCAUCAAUCACCAAAAUUACUUAGGCAUAAAUUAUGCCUCAACAACCGGCAAAUAAACCAGUAGCCACCAAAACGGACUUUACAACUCAGAUCUGGUACAUUAUUCGAGUAACUCAACCCCGACUCAAGACGGUUGAAAAUCAGCUCACAGCAUGAGACGGUGUCGAUAAGAAGAAAGUAGCAGUUCCCUAAGACGUCCGAGAAACAGCUCAGAGCAUAGGGUCACUUCUAUAGAAUGAAAUUCAACAGCUGCCGAGACGGCCAAAAAAAUAGCUCAGAGCACGGUCAGUUGCCGACAAGAGAAAUAAAAGUCGGCAUCCACCCCGGACGGUCGAAAACAGCUCGGAACAGAGGCGUGGUGCCAUCACCGAAGAAAGACAGGCAAGGGUUCGUCUGUGUCCCAUACACCUUAUCCAUAGGUUGUUGGUCAUCUCACUGAAGUGUAUAACUGGCGUUCUUCUUCUUAUAUAGCUCAUGGAAUAGUCGGAUUCCCACUAGGCUGGCAUCAUUGUAUAAUUAACUCAUAUGGCCUUGGUAUUAUGUCCACCAUAUCUAUUGGGUCUAUGCGGCUAAGUGUUUGAUUCCUGAAAUAGGCUUGUGUCCUCACUGACUUUUUGCCUUCUGACCAACUGUUGUGGAGCGGACCUUGAGAUGCAUGGUUAUAUGCUGCGAGUUGUUGGUGGAAUAGCUUGUACUAGUGAGAAUGCGAUGACUUUGUGACAAAGGUUACUUAGAUUGUGUUGUGAGUCAUCAAGAGUAUCAUGUCAAGGAAGACUGGAUAGCUUCUGCUUGAAGUUUCUAUCGAGGUAGCUUCCUGAAGAAGAUUGGGUACUGUAUCUCAAAUGCUCCCCCCCUUAAAGACUUGCUGAUUAAGACUCGGUACCUUAUGCAUGGGUUUCUUGUAUGAGAAAUAUCCGUGUGUCAUAUUGAGGAAGUCACAGGAACCUUGUGUGAUAAGUUAUCCUGGUAGCUUGCGGAGAAAGACUGGGUUGCUUAUACCUGAAGCUUUGUUUUAGCCAUAUGCAAGCUAAGUGCAUAUAUAUCUCCUUAAUGUUCCGGUUGUCGGUUACUCGUUGUAUGCAACAGGGUGUUCGGCUAUCCUUCUUGCUGAACACUAAGUUCAUAGCACAUUAUGACUUGCUUCCAAAAUAUAGCAGGUUUCAAGUUGUAUUCAUAACACACUCAAUCGCGUAUAUGAAUCAUGCCUUUGACUCAAAAUGUACACAUCCUUGCUUUCUUGCUGAUUCGAUGAUUGUUGCUGCGAAGGUUGCACUAAUGUAUACUUGAUGUUGAUAACCCAUCCAACCAGGAUAUCAUUUAUAUUCAGGCCUGAUAUUCCCGAUAUAAUGUAGUCUGCUUAAAAUUCUAUACUGCUGAACUGAGCUUCCAAAUGAUUGUCUCUUCACUGAUUCUUUGAGUCCAGUGUCGGUGAGAAACUUCCAUAAGGGGAAAAUAAGGUAACACCAAGGGCCCAAAGAAAGAAGCAAGAGAAAAGAUUAACACACACAAAGCAGCAAGAUCACACACAUGCAAUAUCAUAUUCUACAGCUAUUCACAACAAUAAUAUGCAUUCCUACUUAAGGACACAGAUCUCGCAAGAACUCCGGUACUACGACCUAACAUGCUAUGGCCGUGUGCAGAAAAGUGAAUCAAUGUGUGUGAAAGAAAGCUGACGAGGACGAACUUGAUGAUCGUGGGUUGGAACACGGUGGUCACGACCGCAUCAUCAUCAAGCGUAUAGAGAAAAACCGUACUCGUCCUUAGGAUGGAGGGCAGGGUGGGAUAAUGAUGAAAAUAAGGCUUGCGAACAUUGCCCUUUUCUGAUAAGCAAGAUCAGUAAGGCUUGCCAACACGGCUAUAGGGAUGGGCAAGAUCCGGGAUAGAAGCAUAUCUAUCACCGAGACAAUAGGGUGGCUGAAGAGAAUGCAUUGGUGUGGUACCGGUGCUUCAAAUCGACAAGGGAUCAACACAACCACGCACCUUGGUAUCACUUCGCUGGGGCGAAGAUGACACCACACCAAGGAGCAAAUAUUCAACUGGUGGGUACAUGUGGUGCAUCAAGACCCAUGCUACCUGCACUCAUCAAAUCAAUCAUUAGUGAUAAAAUAUCUUGUCUAUAUGCAUGCUAUGCACAAACAAAUGCAACAAACAAGUGCAACGAUCCAACUAGAUCCUAUACUACCGGUUACUCACGCUCACGCGGUCUAGGACGUCCUACAGCCAGACCUCCUCUGAUACCAACACUUGUGGCACCCCCACUCAGAGGAAACCGAAACACCCCGUAUUCUAGCCCAGGGACAAGUCUUCUGGAAUACGGCACCGUUGGCAUAGAACAAAUCAGCUCUUUAUUACUAUGGAAAAGGUUACAAGGGUACAUGGAUUACAACGAUACUGCACCUGCCUACGGUAAAAUUCUACGCUAGCAGCGAAACAACGACCGUUGUGAUGAACUCCACUCCACAGGGACUCUGGCUGGAACGUGUAUCCUAGCUCGCAACUCAGGAUCCUUGACAAGCAAGCAAUCAUGGCAUGACCUGUAAACUGGCAUGACACGCCAGGUGAGUACUUUGAAUGUACUCGCAAGCUCACAACAAACAUCAACAUGAAGACAAGACAACAUCAUAGCAAUCAAGAUUAGGUAAAGAUUUAUCUUCGUCGAAGGGAUAGUUGAAACUAACUAUACCAGGCUUCUCUCACUGUACUCUAGUGACCAACUCGUGAUCUCGCCAGGAACCUUCAGCGAAUAUCCUCAAGACGGACAUCAAAACUUGUCACCGGCAUGAUGCCCAACUGCUACCAUACUCAAACGAGUUCUUCCAUCAUUAUCAUCACUAUCAUGGUUAUGGUUGACCACCUACUGAGGUCUGGACGGGCUGUCCAAUACCAUGGACGCGGCUAUUCGAAUAGAUUUUUCACUCUGCAGAGGUUGCGCACUUUACUCACAUCAUGGAGCACUGACCUCGUGAUCCCAUUCGGGUGGAUCAAUAUUGCUCCAAUGAAACCUGCCUGACCCGUAACUCUCCCAUCAUACCACAUGCAUUCAUCCUCCCUUAGAGUCCUACCCUGGGUGGCCCAUGUGUCCUCAUUACACCUGCCACCGUCGUGGCCAAACUAAACUGUCCCAAACGGGGACGGGCCCAAACAACUCAACUGGGCUCACAAGGUUAUCGCCGCCUACAUGGCCAGGGCAGCACGCGUGCAUAAACUUCCCUCUUUGGUGGUACCGAUAAAAGAACACGGGAUCAGACCAAGUCAAGGCCGUCCCAUACCGGCAAAUGUGGCUGCACUAAUAAGCCCAGACAGGUGACUGUCGAUUAACCAACUAAGUAUCCUAUCCCUGAAUAAUAUUUCUUUCAUGGUUGACACUCCGAUAUCAUAGUAAUUGAAUAACCAAUAAGCUCAGGCCACUGCUAUUGAUUCAUAUGCACAAACUGCCAGAUGAAACCCAAAAUAAUCAUAGAUAGUAAUCUCCAACAUCAUGGCAUCGACUAGUGGAUAAAAUACUAGUUGCUAACAAUCCCACACUCAACAUAGUAGUCCCCUAUUCAAGAAUUUAUUCAAACGUUGCAUAAUCUAAUCCAAACUACAAAUAAUUAUAAUUGCGGUUAAAGUAAUAGGUUAAACUAUGAUAUUGCAAUGCAAUUAUGCAAAUGAGGGUUGUGGCUUGCCUGGGGGUGAAGGAACCAUCGGGAAGAAGUGCGGAGAGUCCGCGAAAUUGACUGCCGGAAACAGUUCUCUCUCGGAGGGGGCUGAUUACAGGCAAGGUCAAAAUGGUCAUUUCCACUAUGUGAACACAUAGUUAAAAUGAUACCAACAUGACGGGCUCAACGCUAUGAAGACAUGGGCUUUGGAAUCAACUCGAUCGGAGUUACGGUCGUAAAGUUGUGGUCGUUCACUUUUUAGGUAGAAAAAUGCCCUAACGAGCGGACGUUCACUAAAUAGUCCUUUCGGCCAGCGGCUGAAAAAAUGAAAGCGCCUUUUCCGAAAUUCGUAUUCGGUAAACCGAAAACGCAUUUCAUGAAAUGCGCCUCCACUUUAACUGACGCACGGGCCUGUUGACUUCAUUAGUCCAGCUGACGGGUGGGACCUACCCCAUCCCCUCUCUCUCCUCGCUCUUCUUCCCGCUUGCGAUAAGAGACAGACGAGGAGCGGGGGCGCUCAGCCGGCGAUGGCCCGGUCGGCUUCGUCCACCUCCGGCCUUGGCGAGACCACCAGCAGGACCAAGACGAGGCGCCUCGUCCGCCUGGACCUGCUACUAGCGCCGGGGAGUAGCAGGACGACUGUACCGUGCGAUGGCCACGAGCAGAGGCGGCGGUCGAGCAGUGGAGCCGCGGCCAUGCCUACUCCGGCGUCGAGCAAAGAGGACGGGGAGGUGCACCAGGAGAGGGGGGUUCUACUGCGAGUAAAAUGGAGAGGAGAAGAGUGCUGCCUUGGCCUAAUUUUGACGGAGGAGGCCGGCGACCAUGGCGACAAUGGAGGACGAGGAGGGCUUCGGGAGCUUGGGUGAUGGGCUGGGGAGGACCAAGGGGAAGUGGCGAGGUUGGCGGUGACGAUGAGAGGGUCUCGGGGCAAGCC